GCAACACUAUCACCCAGUGACAACAUUACAAACGUGGACGCGUACUGGUCUUUUGGAAAUAUUAACUAUUGUCUCAACGACCAGAAACUGUGGAGCAAUAGAAAUUAUACCUGUGGUGUACGUACGGUACAAAAUGACACGUUCUUUGACCUGAGAGUUCCAGACCUUACACUAUCUGACGGAGGCAUAUACUCGUGUCGUGUAGACCAUAAUACAAGGGGACUCAAGACAACUUUCACGCAGAAUGUUACAGUCUUAUAUGGUGAAACACCUAAACCAACCACAAAUGGUGAAACACCUAAACCAACCACAAUUGAACCUGGGAGCAUUGGAAGUUCGAUUGAUGGCAAUGUUCUGUCAACAGUUCUAACCAUUCUUGUAGCUUCCUUGAUUCACAGUUG